rnacentral:rRNA from 1 species
AUGUUGGUGGGAAGAGGUUCACUCUGCUCUCUCUGCUCACACCAUCGCACCCCAAUGGCAGCUUCGCUAGCAGCAGCGGAGCAGUCAACCCCUCCCUCCUCUGCGGAGGAAACCAAGAUGGGGGUCAUGUCUCCGACGAAGCUGAGGAUGAAGCUGCUGGGGAUGGGAUCCCAUCCCCAUCCCCAUCCCCACGGAGCCGCCAGCAAGGACGAGGCGGCCAGCAAGUCGCCGUCCAGGCUCCACGCCGACGACCACCCCAAGAACAGCCUCCUGCCGCAGGAGCUCGACGAGGGCUCCUCGGAGUACCACAAGGACCGCUCGGAUUCUUCUUCCCGGUCGCGCUCCAGCGGGAGCCACGGCAGGUCUGCUGCUCACUCCGGCAAUGGCGGCAGCUUCGAGUUCCACAUGGAGGAGAGGGCGGCGGUGGCCGGCCUCGGGCCCUUCUUCAGGCAGGUGCCGUCCAAGUGGAACGACGCGGAGAAGUGGAUCGCCGGGAGGCACGUCGUGCACUCCAACCCCAUAUUCUCCAAGAAGGCGGCCGCCUCCGUGCACGGCCACAGCGGCGUCGGCGGAGGCUGCGUCCGCGUCGUGCCGGAGUCUGCGGCGCCGCAGUCGGAAACGAAGAAGACGAGCGGCGGCAGCGCGCUGACAGAGCUGCCGCGGUCGCCCUCGCCCUCGUCGUCUUCGCUGGCGUCGGUGACCGGGCCGGCGAGCAAGCAGCGUCGCGACACGAAGCUCCGCACCCAGGUGGGCGCCCCGGCGGUGGCGCAGUCGUCGUCGGUGUCGAUGAGGGACGUCGGCACGGAGAUGACGCCGAUCGCCAGCCAGGAGCAGUCCAGGAGCGGCACCCCGGCCGGCGCCGCCACGCCGUCCCUCAGCCCGCUCUGCUCGGUGCCGGCCUCGCCGUCCGCGUCCGAGCGGGAGCUGCAGAUCAGGACGCGCCGGGAGAUCGCCGCGCUCGGGCUGCAGCUGGGCAAGAUGAGCAUCGCGUCCUGGGCCAGCAAGGAGGACCGCAUCCGCACCUCGCCGGACAAGAGCACCGGCGAAGAAGACGAAGCCAGCAAGGAGGAGUUCGAAGCUCGAGCCGCGGCAUGGGCAGAGUCCAAGAAGUGCAAACUCGCAUCAAGAUAUCAGAGGAAGGAGGUGAAGAUUCAGGAGUGGGAGAACUGCCAGAAAUCCAAAUUCGAAGCCAAGAUGAGGCAUGCAGAGGUGCAGGCCGAUCAAAUGAAGGCGAGGGCGAAGAACAGCCUGACCAAGAGGCUGUCCACAUUGAGCCACAAGGUGGAGGGAAAGCAGGCGAGGGUCGAGGCGAGGCGGAACCGGCGGGCGGUUCGGCUGGCGCGGCAGGUGGAGCGCAUCCGGAAGACCGGCCGCGUGCCGUCCCGGUUCCGGUGCUGCAGCUGGUUCCUCUGCUGA